AACUAACGCUGGCGGCGUGCCUAACACAUGCAAGUCGUACGAGAAAGUUGGCUUCGGCCGAUGAGUAAAGUGGCGCACGGGUGAGUAAUGCGUGGAUAAUCUGCCCUUUAGUUGGGAAUAACGUACCGAAAGGUGCGCUAAUACCUGAUAAUACUGCAUAACUACUGUUGUGUAGUCAAAGAAGGCCUCUGUUUACAAGCUUUUGCUGAAGGAUGAGUCCGCGUACCAUUAGCUGGUUGGUGGGGUAAUGGCCUACCAAGGCUACGAUGGUUAGCUGGUCUGAGAGGAUGAUCAGCCACACUGGAACUGAGACACGGUCCAGACUCCUACGGGAGGCAGCAGUGAGGAAUAUUGGACAAUGGAUGGAAAUCUGAUCCAGCCAUGCCGCGUGCAGGAAGACGGCCCUAUGGGUUGUAAACUGCUUUUGUAUGGGAGCAAUAAGGGCUACGUGUAGCCUGAUGAGAGUACCAUACGAAUAAGGACC
rnacentral:rRNA from 1 species